GUGGUACUCCCUCGGUCUGGAAAUACUUGUCCUCAAAAUGGUUGUAUCUAGACUUAUUUUAGUUAUAGAUACAUCCAUUUUAUUCAUUUCUAGGACAAGUAUUUCCGGACAGAGGGAGUAUCUG
rnacentral:pre_miRNA from 1 species